rnacentral:rRNA from 1 species
GACGAACGCUGGCGGUGUGCUUAACACAUGCAAGUGGUGCGACGAACCAGAGCUUGCUCUGGGGCAAAGCCGCGAACGGGUGAGUAACACGUGGGUAAUCUACCCCGAUGACCGGGACAACCCGAGGAAACUCGGGCUAAUACCGGAUGUGGUACGGAGACAUAAGUCUCUUUACUAAAGGUAGCUUCGGCUUCCGCAUUGGGAGGGGCCCGCGGCCCAUUAGCUAGUUGGUGGGGUCAAGGCCUACCAAGGCAACGAUGGGUAGCUGGUCUGAGAGGACGAUCAGCCACACUGGGACUGAGACACGGCCCAGACUCCUACGGGAGGCAGCAGUGGGGAAUCUUGCGCAAUGCGCGAAAGCGUGACGCAGCAACACCGCGUGAGGGAAGACGGCCUUAGGGUUGUAAACCUCUUUCAGAUGGGACGAAGGUGAUGCGGUGAAUAGCCGAUGUCAUUGACGGUACCGUCAGAAGAAGCUCCGGCUAACUACGUGCCAGCAGCCG